CAGAUUUCCAGUCAGUCACAUGUUUCUCCAUUGGCCUCCAGUGAUUGUUGCCCCCACAAAUAUGGCGGCGCUAUUUACGUACGGUUUGGAGCCCAAUGCGGU